GCGAGAGUGGCGGAACUGGCAGACGCGCCGGACUUAGGAUCCGGUGGCCGAAAGGCCGUGGGAGUUCGAGUCUCCCCUCUCGCACCU
rnacentral:tRNA from 1 species